AGGAAAACGCUGACGGUUAUUCACAUGCGAUCAUCGUGGUGGGAGCACUAUAUAGGGUGAUAAGUUAUAGUUGAAAAUUUAAGAAAAAUGUCUGAACAAGCAGGACCAUCUAUCAGGAAUGUUUUGUAUCUUGAAGAAGAUGAAAUAGCAAGAUUGUUUUUUUCGUAUAUGGGGAUUUUGAUGGAAAAGAGGCAAUCCGAUCCUAUGCUAUUUGAUUAUACACAGACGCACCUUUGGGAUCCGAUUGAAGAGAGUGUAGAAAUUGGCAUUGAUAAUGCUUCAGUCUCUGUUCCUGAAGAAGGUACAUCUAUAGAUGUGGAUGAGAGAUUGGGCAACACUGACUGGUGUGUUUGCGGCAACUGUCAAGCUAUGCCAACCCACACUGAAUCAAUUUGCUGUCGUGAAGUUGAGAAUAUUAAUUCCAAAAUUCAAGAUGGUUUAAGCUGUAUUAUAGAUGAUCCGUAUGGUUCAACAUCACUAAGCAGCAGAGAACAUCUUGUGCAAGUAUAUUGGAUUUUGGCAAGUUAAAAAAUGACAGGGAUGUAUGGAAGAUAUCCUAUUGAGCUUUCACAGUUUUUGCUCAUCAUUACCAUCCUGUGUGGUUUCACAGAUAAGGAAUGCAUUUCCAGAACCUGAUGGCUUGUAUAUAGGAUUUUACCCAGCAGAAGAAGGACCUGCAAUUGAUAUGUUAUACGAUUAAAAAGAUAAUGCUAAGAUAUUGACAUUCUGUUUGA